rnacentral:lncRNA from 1 species
GAUGGAAAUUCCAUUCACACCAGGAAAGAACACGACCUCUAUCAUGUCUUUAUCUAAUAAUUUCCAAAUCUAAUAGAAAAUCAAAUAAAAUUAGUUAAACAAAAUCAAAUCAAAAUACAAAAUUGUCAUAACAAAGGCUAAUCGAAUAGAACAUAUGUGUGAAUCAUUAGAGAUGAGAAAUCCAUAUGAUAGUGACGGCUGGAAUUCUAGAGACGACCUAGGGUUUAAGAGAAAAAAGAAAGACGGAAAGAAAGAUAUAACGUCGAACAGAUGAACAAUAGGAUUAACAAUUAGCAAAAGAAGAUUUCUUACCUGAUUCUUGAAGCUU